UAGAACCUCAGGCCACCUGCCUUGCUCCUUCACGAGCAUUCCUAGGGAGAACGGGUAGGGCUGGAGAAUUCUGAGGCUCCACACGUAGCCUGCCAGGGCCCUCCUGCAGGCCUCACCUUGCGGGGAGUACGAAGUUGCUGCAGCCCCUGAGCUUUUCCUCUGCAGAUGGGUCAGCCUCUUUGGGCCUUGCGAUGCUCACGCUUGGUGUUUUCCCUCAGUGUACCUUUGCCUGCUCCCCAUAGUGUCUCCAGGGCCCACUGCUGCUCGCUGCCCUCCCAGCCCCCAGCUGCCCCUGUCCCCUGGAGAUCCUGGUGUUUGGGCUGUGCUAAUGCUGGGUCUUGGCUGAUCUUCCCUUCUGCCCCCCAUCCCCAGGACUCUCUAUAAGAUCCUAGACAGCUGCAAACAGCUGACUCUGGCCCAGGGGGCAGGUGAGGAGGAUCCGAGCGGCAUGGUGACCAUCAUCACAGGCCUUCCACUGGACAACCCCAGCGUGCUUUCAGGCCCCAUGCAGGCAGCCCUGCAGGCCGCUGCCCACGCCAGCGUGGACAUCAAGAAUGUUCUGGACUUCUACAAGCAGUGGAAGGAAAUUGGUUGAUACUGACCCCCAGGCCCUGCAGUGGGGCUGACUCCAGAUCUCUCCUGCCCUCCCUGGCAGCCAGGACCAGCACCUGUAGUCACCCCACCACACGCAGACUCAUGCACGCACACAGGAGGGAGGCCUAGCUGCUCAGAGGCUGCAGGGAGGGCCCAGGAGCCGGCUGGGAGGGUGGGGUCCCUUUGUUGCCAAGACGUUAGGAAAGCCAGGAAAGUGCUUGGAGUAGGAGAGUCUUGUGGGCCCCUGGCCAGCCUUCCUGCCUCAGCUCCCCUGCUGUCUCCAGGGGCAGGUGGCAGGCAUGGGUACCUGCAUUUCACUGGAGUGGGUUCUUGGAUCUCUGAGGGGAAGGAACAGCAGAAGAGGCCCUUCUUCCUCACCCAAGAUGCAGGGUGGUUGGGGCCAGGAGUUUGGAGUCUCCAGGUCUUGGGGGAAGAGCUGGGUAAUACCUGGUGUCUGAGUGAUUCUCUGCAGACCCUUCCCCUCCUCAAGGAUCACCCAUCCUCCUUUCAGCCCCCUUUAUGGGGACCAGGCAACUCUGGAGCCAGCCGCAGGGG
rnacentral:sRNA from 1 species